CAGUGAGACUGUGGGGGAUAAGCUUCAUAGUCGAGAGGGAAACAGCCCAGAUCGCCGGUUAAGGCCCCUAAGGGUGUACUAAGUGGAAAAGGAUGUGUAAUCGCGAAGACAGCCAGGAGGUUGGCUUAGAAGCAGCCACCCUUGAAAGAGUGCGUAAUAGCUCACUGGUCGAGUGGUUGCGCGCCGACAAUUCAGUGGGGCUCAAGUACACCGCCGAAGCCGCGGCAUAUUUUUUAUAUGGGUAGGGGAGCGUCGUGCAUGGGGUGAAGCGUUACCGGAAGGGGGCGUGGACUGUGUGCGAGUGAGAAUGCAGGCAUGAGUAACGAAUGAUGCGUGAGAAUCGUAUCCGCCGGAUGACUAAGGGUUCCUGGGUCAAGUUCGUCUUCCCAGGGUGAGUCGGGUCCUAAGGCGAGGCCGACAGGCGUAGUCGAUGGUCAACGGGUUGAUAUUCCCGUACCCGUGCAUACGCGCCCAAGUGCGAAGCGGUGAUACUAACCACCCUGACCACCCGCCAUGCAUUCCUUUGGUUUGCGGGUGGGUGUGAUGCGUGGGGCCUGAUCCGUUGUAGUUCAGUGAUGGGGUGACGCAGUCAGGUAGCUACGCCACUUAA
rnacentral:rRNA from 1 species